GUGAUUUAGUGUGCAGCAUCCACACUUGUUCCAGUUGCCCCCAAAUCACCACAAAACAGUUUGUUAUGGUUACAAAACACACAAUGAAGUAACUUCAACAAAUGUUAAUAUGGAAUAAAAGUAAAACAUGAAGAAUAAAAGCAGUCUUGCUCUUUAAGAACAGAGAGGAUUUUUUCUCUGUAGGUUUAUCUUUGAAUGCAGUGAAUCAGCCUUCACUGAUAAAGUUUAUGGAUCUGAGCUGCUAACUGACAAACUAUCUGCUUCUUGUUUAGGUUGUAAUGGAUAUGAAUAUUCUUCUUCUCCAGAGUAUUGCUAUGAACUCAGAGGACCUUUCUGAAACACUUCAACCAGAACCUGCAGAGCAACAACAAAACAUGUUUCUUUUCUUUGUACAGUUUUGGGGCUGAUUGUUCUUUAAACACCAAACUGUCCAUAAAUGAUUUGAACUUUUCAUGCACUCAAUACAUGAUGUGCACACUGAAUCCAUAAAGUGUCGAUGGCUCGCUGAGGUCUGAAUAAAAUGUUUCAUCAUCAGA